CUACGUUAACGAUAGGCGCGCAUUUUUGAUCACGAGGACGUCAAUUUUCUUUACGAAUAACGAUCAAAACUAGUAAAAACUUUCGUGAAGAAUUUAUUACAUAAAAAUGUCGUGCACAAAAAAAUUUAUCUAUAUCUGACGAAAGAAGCGUUUUUUUUUUUUUUGCACUUUGGAUACUUUAUCGUUCAAUUUUCAUACAAAUCUAUUUAAAUUAAUUCAUAAGGCCACGAUCGAGCGAAUCAAUUUCCAAGAAAGCUUGAGAUAUCUGUAUCGAACGAGAUUUGAAUGUGAGCGGACCGAUGACGUCACUGGUGCCUCCAAAGCACACGCGCAACGAUCUAAGGAAAAGCGACGAAAACGAAUCGAUGCGAUGGAACGAGAGAGAAGGGGCGUCGCCCUCUACAAAUGGAAAGAGAGACAAAUAUAUAGGAAGAAGACACUAUGAACACUUCCCCCGUCUAGCGUGGAACCGAUACAAAAAUAUACCCUCUCCUGUCUCACUCUCCUCAUACGUUUUCCGUAACUUCUCGUGGCGUUGUCUUUUUGUUUUCGGUUCGAUGUCCUCUUUUUACCCUCUCCUCUCUCUCAAUGAUUCCAUAGGGAUCAUAAAUACCAGCUUUAAAAAUGUCUCUCUCUCUGUCUCUCUCUCUCUCUCUCUCAUCGAUUUAAAAAAAAAAAAGUCCUAUUUGUUUGUUUCACCUGACGACAUAUUUCUCAAUACUCUUCUACUCUUUCUCCGUCUCGAACGUAACGCCAGCGAAUGGAAAAAAACUUUAUGUUGAAUCACGACGAUUGCAAAGUCGCGAACUUAAAAAUAUACACAAGAGAGAGAGAGGGGGGGAGGAAAGGGGAGAGACAUCGGAUCGGCAAGAAAUCGAAAAAAAAAUCUCGAUCAGAGAAAGACAUUUUAUUUAGAUACUCGAUGGUCACGAUCAUAUCACGUUGGGAUCACACAGAGUACGAUGAUACUCGAUAAAAAACAAGGGCGUGGAAUGAUCACGAUCGACUUUUAGUAUGUACGUACUUGGCAAUCGAUCUCUUUUUCCCUUUUUCUCUCUCUCUCUCUCUCUCUCUCUCUCUCUCUCUCUCUCUCUCUCUCUCUCUCUAUCUCUCUCUCUCUUUUAUU